UAGUGCGACUUGUUAGAUAUAUUAGGUCAUAUGGUAUUUCCCCGUUCUCCACCAAUAGAGAUAUCCCUCGUUUUGCUCAAGAAAUCUAAAUUGAAUCAUCCAAAAUUUGGAGCGUGAAGUGCAAUUAGAUCCAUUUUUGAGGGGAUUCAUAUUACUAUUAUCAAUUAGAAUAAUUUAUGGUUGACUUGGUUGGACUAAA
rnacentral:lncRNA from 1 species